ensembl:lncRNA
GGAGGAGGAGUUAGUGUGUGAACGAUGAAGGGAUAGCCUUGAUGAAAUCAACAGCUUGUUCACUGGUCGGACUUUCCCAAGACUGCAUGGUGGUCUGCACGUCUCACACACUCCCCGUCGGACACACACGCACGGCUGUAGCUGGGACUAACGACAAACACCACAGGUAGAUGAAGAAGCAGAGAAGAUGACGUUGUUUGGGCUGGACUGUGCCAAGAAGAAAGAGAGAGAGUUGGAGAGGAAACUGAGGGCAAACGACAGAGAGCAUAACCUCUCCUUCAGAUAUGCGACAGCGGAGUCCCGGCCCAUCGUCUGAAACACUGCCCCAUCAAAGAGUAUCUUAAAUAAAUCCCACGCCCCCCCCAGAGGAAGUAGGCGCUUGCAAACCAAACCGCUCUUGUCUUCUAUUGCCUUGUCUUCCAGUGUCUUAUAUUCGUUUCGCUUGUAUUGUCUUGUAUUAUCUUGUAUUGUCUUGUAUUAUCUUGUAUUAUCUUGUAUUGUCU